UACGUAGGUGGCAAGCGUUGUUCGGAUUUACUGGGCGUAAAGCGCACGUAGGCGGAUCGAUCAGUCAGGGGUGAAAUCCCAGAGCUCAACUCUGGAACUGCCUUUGAUACUGUCGAUCUGGAGUAUGGAAGAGGUGAGUGGAAUUCCGAGUGUAGAGGUGAAAUUCGUAGAUAUUCGGAGGAACACCAGUGGCGAAGGCGGCUCACUGGUCCAUUACUGACGCUGAGGUGCGAAGGCGUGGGGAGCGAACAGG
rnacentral:rRNA from 1 species